AUUGAACGCUGGCGGCAGGCCUAACACAUGCAAGUCGAACGAGUGGCGGACGGGUGAGUAAUGUCUGGGAAACUGCCUGAUGGAGGGGGAUAACUACUGGAAACGGUAGCUAAUACCGCAUACCAUCGGAUGUGCCCAGAUGGGAUUAGCUAGUAGGUGGGGUAACGGCUCACCUAGGCGACGAUCCCUAGCUGGUCUGAGAGGAUGACCAGCCACACGGGAACUGAGACACGGUCCAGACUCCUACGGGAGGCAGCAGUGGGGAAUAGUGCACAAGGGGCGCAAGCCUGAUGCAGCCAUGCCGCGUGGAUGAAGAAGGCCUUCGGGUUGUAAAGUACUUUCAGCGGGGAGGCGUUACUCGCAGAAGAAGCACCGGCUAACUCCGUGCCAGCAGACGCGGUAAUAC
rnacentral:rRNA from 1 species